AUUUAUUUCUCGAAUAAAGUCUCUUUUGAAAUUAAAAAAAAUUAAAACAAAUCUUUCUUCCCUUUGGUUUCUCUUCCCCCUCCAUUCACUUCCGCCUUUAAUGGGGGCGGCAACAGCUGGGAUCCAUCACGGGACGUGCGGUCCUUCUGUAAACUCUUCCGCCGGGCAGCAGGGCCGCGGCGCUCGCAACGCAACGCAACGCAACUCAACGCAAGGCAGCGGCUUCAGGUGCGCAGCUUGUGGUGAUGCUGAAUCUGUUAAUGAUUGGCGCCAGGCCCUUGCAGGAUGAGCAAAUUGCCGACUGGCCCGGAAAAUGCUGGAGUCAAUUCCUUUGGUCACAGUGCCUCCAUCAGUACUAUGCAAUCCAUCACCGCAGCCCAAGUUGCAGCUAGGUUAGACUCGUAUAAACCAAUUGGUAAAAGAAAUAUUUCUGAUGUCAGGAGGACUUUCUGUUUAUUUGUUACGUUUGAUCUACUAUUUGUUGGUUUGUUGUGGAUAAUCGAAUUGAAUGUAGAUGGAGGCAUAAUUAAUAGUUUAAAGAAUGAAGUUAUUAAUUAUAAUUUCCAACACUCUUACUUCGAUAUAUUUUUACUGGCAGUAUUUCGAUUCUUUAUGCUAAUUUUUGCAUACGCACUGUGUAGGUUACGCCAUUGGUGGGUGAUCGCGGUUACAACUGCUGUUACCAGUGCCUUUCUAAUUGCAAAGGUCAUCAUUUCCAAGCUCUUGAUGGAAGGUACAGCCUUUGCCUAUUUGCUGCCAAUAAUCUCCUUCAUACUGGCCUGGAUCGAGACGUGGUUUCUGGAUUUUAAAGUUUUGCCACAAGAGGCAAAGGAUGAAAACAGUAUCUUUACCAUAUCUGACUUUUCAGAACAAGCACCUCUUAUUCUACCUGGCCCUAUCUCAGAUGGCCAGUUUUAUUCUCCUCCUGAAUCUAUUGUGGAUUCUGAAGAAGAAGAUGAUUCUGAGUAUCCAGUGCAUUAGCAGGUGUGGAAUGGUGCAUCUGUUGACUCCUGUUUGCUUUGCUCAACUACAGGCCCCAGUGGACACAUGGAUGAAGUUCAGAUUGAAAGAAACAAUGGAAAUCUCUGACAGUAGAGUUUGAAGAUUCGCCUGGCAAUUGAAUUAUUCUUGGGCAAGAUUUGUUGUAGAAUGAAGUCUGUGAUUCACUGUGCUCAAGAACCCUUCAGCUGUUGGGAGUUCAUUACUGUGCCGCCCGUCUGCCAUCUCUGAAAUGGCUUCUUUAUCCUGCCUUUACUAAACCAAUGGUAUCAAUCGUGCAAUCCAUUCUGCACAAGAUUAUCUCUCAAUAUAUUUUUUUGUUUGGAAUCAAUAAUUUCAGUGUUAAUCUACUUAAAAUACCAUUCAUAGAUUACUGAAGGGUGUGAUCCAAUUACCUGCCCGCUGAGAUGGGGCCUGUUCACUAUGCAUUGUGUUGCACUAUGAUUCUUGAUUAUGUUUGUUUGGUCUUUCAUUAUUUUAAAUGAAAUGGACCAAACACAGAAAACCAUAUUAAUUAUAAUGUGUUCUAAACUAUUUUCAGAUUUUGCCUUAUUUGUAAAGGUAUGUAUGAAAAGGAGCAUUGCAUGAGUGCUGCUGCAUGUGUGUGUCAGCCCAUGUCCCCAGAGCGUUAAUGAAUGUCAUAACUUCAGGCAUCGUGAGGAGAUUAUUAUUUUUUAAUCAUGUGUCAAUAGCAACAAAUUCUCUACAGAAACUUAUCACAAGACUGUUAACUGACUGCCCUCUCUACAGAGCACUCAGUGACCCUGCUCCUCUUGUGAUUAAGAGAGUGCAAAAUUUCCAUCCUCAGUUUAGAGAAUUUCUUGCUUUUUAAUAGUUGAAGCUGUAGAAGUUUUGUUUUUAAAUAACUCUAUAGCAUUUUAAUUAUUUGCAGUUAUAAGUGUUAAAUAGUUCUCUAAUUAAAAAAAAAAAACAUCUUGGCACCUGCAGCAGUUGCUCGCUCCUCACUCAGGAUUCUGGACCUGUAGAAAAUGUUUUUAAUUGCAGAUGUUGCAGUGAUGUUGUACCAAAGUGGUCUGACCUCUACACCAAGCAAGGCAGCUGCUUUUCCAACUUCCCUUGCCCAAAGAGAGCAUGCUAUCCCACUCCAAGGAAGCCUGCUUGUCUUUGACCUGUAGAUAAAUGGCUUAACCUAGAUCUCCUCCUACGAUCCUAUACAAUCUGUAUCCAACAUUCAGGUCUUCGAAUUCCAAACCACCACUCACUAAGAGUGCUGCCUAUUGCCGGCGAUGGGAGUAAAGCCUGGUUUUUACUUCGCAUCAGAUUUUAGCUAUUUGAGACUCUGAGAUAGUUGAAAAAGUUUGAUUAGAAAUAAGACCUCGUAACGAUACACAUUCUUUUCCAGGGCCACAAGAGACAAUGAAAGUGAACUAGUAACAUUGCUAUUUACUAGAUAAUUGUGUUUGUGUUAAUUUGCAACAUAGCUUAUCAUGGGGCAAGUCUAUUAUUGGAGAAGAACAGUGGGCAGAUAAUAUAAAGCAUUUAAAGAGUAUUUGCAUGAAAUUAAUGGUCUGUCCAAAAUUGAGAAAAUAAUGUAAUGCAUUUAAAAUUUGAAGUGAAUUUAUGCAUAAUUUUACUUUAUUAACGUAGUUUAAUGUUUUCAGUAAAGCUCUAGUGUAAUUAUGUGAAUCACUAAUUUAAUGUGAAUGGAUUCAGUGAGAUAUUAAUGUGUUGCAGUUCAUGCCUCCUGCACUCACACUAAAUUGGUUUGUGGCUAUUCCAAUAGUUUUGAAUUGGCAUCAUAUUUCAUAUUUUAACAUCCAUUUUUAAUUACAAUUGAGAAUUGUUUUCAAUUUAAUUCAGAUUAUUGGAACAUUAAUUGUUUUAUCACAAAUUACUUCAAGAGCAGGCUCUUUGUUCAACAUGAUUGAGUAAUUGUUUAAUUAGUAACUGACGUGCUCUUUCUGUCUGCAGCCUCAGACUGUUUUGUAUUCUAAUUAUAUUUUUAAGGUAAAGUUCCAACUCUGUUAAUAUUGUGAAUGUAUCCCUUCCUUUGCAGAACUAACAGUAAGUCAUGGCCAAGUGAUUAUUCUUUUAGUCUCUCUACCUAUUAAUUUAAUUUUUCUAACCUGUCAGCUGCCUUUCAAAUAGGCAUUGUACUGUGGGAACAAGAUUGAGUAUUGAUAAAAAUUGAUGCCAGGACAAAUUCUACACAAAUACAAUUACUGUCACCUAUUUCAAACUCACAGUUUGACCACUUAAGAUUAGUUAAUAAAUAAUUGUUGGAAUUAAAAACGAUCAACAAAUGCAGAA